AAUUACCAACUAGAUCGAGUGGCUCAGGAAACCGUUCUAAUAAUCGUAAGCAUGAUAAUUCCACAAACAUAUAAAUAGUAACUAAAAUACUUUUACUUCACAGGAGUCAUUCACAGAAGACUUUCCCCAAAUUGUUAAAUACCACGCAUCAAUCAUGAACCAAAAAAUCGUGUAUGCCGUGGCAUUUAUAAUUUAUUGCAUGAUUUCUGAAGUGUACAGUGGUGGUAGUGGUGACAGCGAGGACAGUGUUCAACUCAAUGAUGCAGCUUUACCAGUCUCGUGGCUUGAAACUGUACUAGAAGAGAUCGAUUCUCAGGAUGAUACAUCGCAUAGCCAAAAAGUUAAAGCAAAACUCGUUGCCUUAGUCACUACAAUAGUUGAAAAAUGGUCUAUGGGCUAAUAAUUUCCGAUAUUUUAAAGCAGAAAUGAUAAUACGAAUUACUUUA